AUUGAACGCUGGCGGCAGGCCUAACACAUGCAAGUCGAACGAGUGGCGGACGGGUGAGUAAUGUCUGGGAAACUGCCUGAUGGAGGGGGAUAACCACUGGAAACGGUAGCUAAUACCGCAUACCAUCGGAUGUGCCCAGAGGGGAUUAGCCAGUAGGUGGGGUAAAGGCUCACCUAGGCGACGAUCCCUAGCUGGUCUGAGAGGAUGACCGGCCAAACGGGAACUGAGACACGGUCCAGACUCCUACGGGAGGCAGCAGUGGGGAAUAUUUCACAAUGGGCGCAAGCCUGAUGCAGCCAUGCCGCGUGUAUGAAGAAGGCCUUCGGGUUGUAAAGUACUUUCGGCGGGGAGGCGUUACCCGCAGAGGAAGCACCGGCUAACUCCGUGCCAGCAGCCGCGGUAAUAC
rnacentral:rRNA from 1 species